rnacentral:rRNA from 1 species
UGGGGAAUAUUGGACAAUGGAGGAAACUCUGAUCCAGCAAUUCUGUGUGUGUGAAGAAGGUUUUAGGACUGUAAAACACUUUUAGUAGGGAAGAAAAAAAUGACGGUACCUACAGAAGAAGCAACGGCUAAAUACGUGCCAGCAGCCGCGGUAAUACGUAUGUUGCGAGCGUUAUCCGGAAUUAUUGGGCUUGAAGGGCAUCUAGGCGGUAAGACAAGUUGAAGGUGAAAACCUGUGGCUCAACCAUAGGCUUGCCUACAAAACUGUUGAACUAGAGUACUGGAAAGGUGGGUGGAACUACACGAGUAGAGGUGAAAUUCGUAGAUAUGUGUAGGAAUGCCGAUGAUGAAGAUAACUCACUGGACAGAAACUGACGCUGAAGUGCGAAAGCUAGGGGAGCAAACAGG